rnacentral:rRNA from 1 species
UUCGCCCUUAGAGUUUGAUCCUGGCUCAGGAUGAACGCUGGCGGCGUGCCUAACACAUGCAAGUCGAACGGAGUCGUUUUGGAAAAUCCUUCGGGAUUGGAAUUCUCGACUUAGUGGCGGACGGGUGAGUAACGCGUGAGCAAUCUGCCUUUAAGAGGGGGAUAACAGUCGGAAACGGCUGCUAAUACCGCAUAAGCCCACGGCUCGGCAUCGAGCAGAGGGAAAAGGAGCAAUCCGCUUUGAGAUGGCCUCGCGUCCGAUUAGCUAGUUGGUGAGGUAAUGGCCCACCAAGGCGACGAUCGGUAGCCGGACUGAGAGGUUGAACGGCCACAUUGGGACUGAGACACGGCCCAGACUCCUACGGGAGGCAGCAGUGGGGAAUAUUGCACAAUGGGGGAAACCCUGAUGCAGCGACGCCGCGUGGAGGAAGAAGGUCUUCGGAUUGUAAACUCCUGUUGUUGAGGAAGAUAAUGACGGUACUCAACAAGGAAGUGACGGCUAACUACGUGCCAGCAGCCGCGGUAAAACGUAGGUCACAAGCGUUGUCCGGAAUUACUGGGUGUAAAGGGAGCGCAGGCGGGAGAACAAGUUGGAAGUGAAAUCCAUGGGCUCAACCCAUGAACUGCUUUCAAAACUGUUUUUCUUGAGUAGUGCAGAGGUAGGCGGAAUUCCCGGUGUAGCGGUGGAAUGCGUAGAUAUCGGGAGGAACACCAGUGGCGAAGGCGGCCUACUGGGCACCAACUGACGCUGAGGCUCGAAAGUGUGGGUAGCAAACAGGAUUAGAUACCCUGGUAGUCCACACCGUAAACGAUGAUUACUAGGUGUUGGAGGAUUGACCCCUUCAGUGCCGCAGUUAACACAAUAAGUAAUCCACCUGGGGAGUACGACCGCAAGGUUGAAACUCAAAGGAAUUGACGGGGGCCCGCACAAGCAGUGGAGUAUGUGGUUUAAUUCGACGCAACGCGAAGAACCUUACCAAGUCUUGACAUCCCUUGACGAUGCCGGAAACAGUAUUUCUCUUCGGAGCAAGGAGACAGGUGGUGCAUGGUUGUCGUCAGCUCGUGUCGUGAGAUGUUGGGUUAAGUCCCGCAACGAGCGCAACCCUUAUGGUCAGUUACUACGCAAGAGGACUCUGGCCAGACUGCCGUUGACAAAACGGAGGAAGGUGGGGAUGACGUCAAAUCAUCAUGCCCUUUAUGACUUGGGCUACACACGUACUACAAUGGCGUUAAACAAAGAGAAGCAAGACCGCGAGGUGGAGCAAAACUCAGAAACAACGUCCCAGUUCGGACUGCAGGCUGCAACUCGCCUGCACGAAGUCGGAAUUGCUAGUAAUCGUGGAUCAGCAUGCCACGGUGAAUACGUUCCCGGGCCUUGCACACACCGCCCGUCA